UACGUAGGGCGCAAGCGUUAAUCGGAAUUACUGGGCGUAAAGAGUGUGUAGGCGGUGCUCUAAGUUCGGUGUGAAAUCUCCUGCUUAACUGGGAGGGUGCGCCGGAAACUGGAGUGCUUGAGCGUGGGAGAGGAAAGCGGAAUUCCUGGUGUAGCGGUGAAAUGCGUAGAGAUCGGCAGGAACACCCAGGGGAAACCAGCCGACUGGGCAUCUGCUGACGCUGAGGUGCGAGAGCGUGGGGAGCGAACCGG
rnacentral:rRNA from 1 species